UACGAAGGGGGCUAGCGUUGUUCGGAAUUACUGGGCGUAAAGGGCGCGCAGGCGGCCGCUCAAGUCAGGUGUGAAAGCCCCGGGCUCAACCUGGGAACUGCACUUGAUACUGAGUGGCUAGAGUUCGGGAGAGGAGAGUGGAAUUCCUGGUGUAGCGGUGAAAUGCGCAGAUAUCAGGAAGAACACCCGUGGCGAAAGCGGCUCUCUGGAACGGUACUGACGCUGAGACGCGAAAGCGUGGGGAGCGAACAGG
rnacentral:rRNA from 1 species